GGGCUGGUAGUUCAGUUGGUAGAACACCGCAUUCGCAUUGCGGAGAUCGAGGGUUCGAAUCCCUCCCAGUCCACCA
rnacentral:tRNA from 1 species